ACGGAAGGCAGCAGCUAAGAAUAUUCCGCAAUGGGCGAAAGCCUGACGGAGCGACGCCGCGUGGAUGAUGAAGGCCGGAAGGUUGUAAAAUCCUUUUAUACAUGAGGAAGAAGCAGUACAGGAAAUGGUAUUGUGGUGACUGUAGUGUAUGAAUAAGCAACGGCUAAUUACGUGCCAGCAGCCGCGGUAACACGUAAGUUGCGAGCGUUGUUCGGAAUUAUUGGGCGUAAAGGGCAUGUAGGCGGUUCUGCAAGCUUGGUGUGAAAGGCAGGAGCUUAACUCCUGGACUGCGUUGAGAACUGUAGAACUAGAGUGACUGAGGAGCAAUCAGAAUUCCAGGUGUAGGGGUGAAAUCUGUAGAUAUCUGGAAGAAUACCAAUGGCGAAGGCAGCCUGCCAGCAGAUGACUGACGCUGAGGUGCGAAGGUGCGGGGAGCAAACAGGAUUAGAUACCCUGGUA
rnacentral:rRNA from 1 species